CGGGACGGGGUGGAGGUAAGUGUCUGGGAAACUGCCUGAUGGAGGGGGAUAACUACUGGAAACGGUAGCUAAUACCGCAUAACGUCGCAAGACCAAAGAGGGGGACCUUCGGGCCUCUUGCCAUCGGAUGUGCCCAGAUGGGAUUAGCUAGUAGGUGGGGUAACGGCUCACCUAGGCGACGAUCCCUAGCUGGUCUGAGAGGAUGACCAGCCACACUGGAACUGAGACACGGUCCAG
rnacentral:rRNA from 1 species